ACAAACAGGACCUGGAACAUCCAGGGAGCGUCUGGGCUGCAGGUAGGUGUCGCCUUAUACACUUUACACCAGGCCCCUCCCCACCUCCCCAUUUAGAGCCUCCAGGACCAAUCGUAUCAGAAUCUCCGGGGCAGGACCUGGGGGCAUCCAUGCUUUUUAAAGCCUUCCAGGUGUUUGCAGUGUGCAGAUAAGGUUCAGGGCCACUAAUUUAAACCCUAAAAGUCUUAUACCAGAUCUUUCUAUAGUUUGGGGUGUGCUACUUUCCUGUCUGUGGAAAUCCUGCUUGUCCUACAGGGCUCAUCUCAGCCGCCCCUUCUUAGGUGAAGCCUUCCUUGACUUCCCAGUUUCCUGAGGCAAAGUUAAUUGCUUCCCCACCAUCAUUAAUUCUGGUGGGGUCCAGGCCGUGCCUGGGUGCAAAUCCUGCCUCCAUGACUUCCUAGUUGUACCGUGGCCACAUCUCUCCACUUCUGCAAGCCUCAAUCUUUUUAUCUGUAAAAUGAGGCUAACAAUAAAAGUACCUAUUUUAUGGGGUUAAUGUUCAGUUAAAUGCAAUAAUCUGCUUAUAACAGUGGUGGUCAGUAAAUGCUAGCCAUUUCUUAUAACUCAAAUUCUUUUCUGCCUUUUCUGCACUUUCAAAAUGCAAACUCCUUGAAAGUGGAACGAGUCCACCCCAGCCUCAUGCUCCCCGUACUCUGUCUACACUGUGCUCUGCACGUAGCAGUAUUCAAUAACUAUUUGAUGAACAAAUGAAUCAGAAGGGAAUCCUUAUGUGACAUUAGAACUUGCUUCCCAGUUUAGCUCUGGCAUAAAUCCAGAGUCCAUAUAUUGAUUUGUUGAGCAAUGUUUUCCUUUAUUGAGUUCUUACUAUAUACUAGGCUCUGAGAAUUUAAAGAUAAACACACAAUUGCUGUCAUUGAGGAGAGUCUGGAGGAGGACACAGAUUCAUGAUUUUGUUAUUUUAUUAUGCUUGUAACAUUGUCUCAGAAGUGCCACCGGGGCACAAAGGAAAAAGAGGGGAAGGGGAGGGAGGAGGGAAGUGUUAGUGCAGAAGAUACAAAGAGAAGGAGCUUGCCGGGUGGAGAGGCAGGGAAGGGCAUUGGAGCUGAAGGAACAGCACCUGCUAGGCCAGAAAGGCCCAAGAGGGCGAGCUGCAAUCCGAGGAUGGUGUGGUACACCAGGAAAGCCGUAGGGGGAUGGAACUGGCCAGGCAGACUGUGGCUGGAAUGGGAGAGGCUCGAGGGCUGGACUAAGUGGCUGGGACUUCAUCCAGCCAGCCAAGGAGGGUCUGGUCAUGUUUGUGAGCCGAGAAGGUAAACAGAGCGCACCUGGGCUGGUUUCCUUCUCUCAGGCCUUCCUGGCGGCCACGCCUUACCGAAAGGAGUCCUGACUCAGAGCUGCUGUGCCGUCCCUUCUCCUGUCCCUGCCUGGAAGAGGCCUAUCAGGUUGACCAAGCUUUGCUCCCACCUGUGGAUGAGAAGGGCAGGUGGCCGAGAGUGGGUGUGGAGGAGGAAGACUGGAUGCCAAUGAUCCUGAUCUCACUCUGUCACCAAGGCUGGAGUGCAGCAGCAGAAUUUCAGCUCACUGCAACCUCGACUUGCUGGGUUCAAGGGAUCUCCCAAGUAGCUGGGACUACAGGUGCACACCAUCAUGCCUGGCUAAUUUUUUGUAGGGAUGGGGUUUUACCAUGCUGCCCAGGCUGGUCUUGAACUUCUGAGUUCAAGCGAUCCUCCCUCCUGAGCCUCCUAAAGUGCUGGGAUUACAGGUUUAAAAAAUAUCCUGGACUUUGGAAAAUAUUCUUAUAUAAAGAAGCAAAAAGAGGAUGGAAUAGACUUGUGCUAACACUGAAACUCCAGUCAAGUUGUAAACUGAAAAAGAACGUGUUGAAACAAGGAAUUGCCCCAUAGCCUUCACAGGAUCUCACUCUGUUGCAGUGUCACUGGAGUGCAGUGGUGCAGUCUUGGCUUCCUGCACCAUCUGCCUUCCAGAAUCAAGCAAUUAUCCAGCUUCAGCCUCCCGAGUAGCUGGGACCACAGACGUGCCACCAUGCCUGGCUUAUUUUUUUAUUUUUUGUAGAGAUGGGGUUUCACCAUUGUUGCCCAGGCUGGGCUCAACUCCUGAGCUCAAAGUGAUCCAUCUGCCUCAGCCUCCCAAAGUGCUGGAAUUACAGGCUCAGUCUAUACUAGUAUAUUUACAACUAUAUUUUAUUACAAUAUUUAUUAAAUAUUGUUGUCUUUUGCUAGGAAACUUAAAAACCUUAAAGAACAUCAUUUGUGAGCUCCCAAUUGGCACAAAUUACAUAAGGUACUCUACACAUAUUUUUAUUUUCUUAACUUUUUGUUAUAACAAGUGAAAAAUCUAAAAAUCAACUGAAUAAGCUUUUAUGUUGAAAAGUAUACUUAAAUGAUUCUGGUGAUCAUGGUGUUCUAGUAAGAAAAAUGCUUUGCUAGUGAUGUGACAGCGUACGGCAUAUGAAUAAUAUUUGAAAUCUUGCUACUCUUUUCUUAUAUUCUGCCCCAAACCCAAAGGAAGUUUAAAAUGAGAAAAAAGGUAAAGGUAUGAAAGAACCUUUGGUGACUCAGGUGGCUUCAGACUUACCAGUCACAAAAACUUGCAAGCAGGUUCUAGGAGACUUCACUGCAUCCAUAUAUGCUGUUAAUAGUGUUUUUUUUUUUUUUUGAGACGGAGUCUCACUCUGUUGCCCAGGCUAGAGUGCAGUGGUGUGAUCUCGGCUCGGCUCGCUGCAACCUCCACCUCCUGGGUUCAAGUAAUUCUUCCACUUCAGCCUUACGAGUAGCUGGGACUAUAGGCACCUGCCACCAUGCCAAGCUAAUUUUUGUAUUUUUAGUAGAGACGGGGUUUCACCAUGUUGGCCAGGCUGGUCUCAAACUCCUGACCUCAAGUGCCCACUCCAGCCUCCCAAAGUGCUGGGAUUACAGGCAUGAGCCACCGCACCCGGCUUGUUAUAGUCUUAAAACACUCUACACCAGGGGUUAGUAAACGUUUCCUAUAAAGGGCCAGAUAGUAAAUAUUUUAUGUCACUACGCAACUCUCCACGGUAGCAUGGAAGCAGCCAUAGACAAUACGUAACUGAAUGAGUGUGGUGUGUUCCGGUAACGCUUUAUAGACACAGAAAUUCACUUAAAGUCCAUAUAAUUUUCACAUGCCAUGAAAUAUUUACUGUUUUUUUUUGGGGGGGGAUGGGGACAGGGUCUCACUGUCACUCAGGCUAGAGAGCAGUGGCACCAUCACGGCUCAGUGUAGCCUAGACCUCCUGAGCUCAAGUGAUCCUCCUAUCUCUCAGCCUCCUGAGUAGCUGGGAUCACAGGCAUGUGCCACUAUGCCCAGUUAAUUUUUGUAUUUUUUGUAGAGAUGAGGUUUCACCAUGUUGCCAAGGCUGGUCUUGAACUCCUGGGUUCAAGCAAUCCAGCUGCCUUGGCCUCCUGAAAUGUUAGGAUUACAGGCGUGAGCCACUGCACCCAGUGAUUUAAUAGAUGUAAAAAUCAUUCUUAGUUCUUGGGGCAAAUAAAACAGGCUUGCAGGCCAGAUUUGGCCUGGGAGGUAUAGUGUAGACUGGUCCACACGAUUGGAGAGUCAGCAGGCUCUUACUCUCAGACUUCCUGGUGGUCCUCACCAGUCUAUUUUACAGUGGCUUCUUUAUUUCCUUUCUGCCACUGUUGAUGGGACUGUAGCGUCACUGCAUGUGACUGAUACCAAAAGAGAAAGGUUCUUUUAAUUAAUCUUUCCAUACUAUCCAGAAGAUUUUUUUCAGUUUUAUUUCUUAAACAUAUAAGAGGGCAUUAUAAAAUGACAUUAUAAUUAUAAAAGAUUUUCUUUUAAGAACAAUGUUUUUAGGCCUACUAAUAUUACUUAAUAAAAAGAGCAGAUAUUUAAGAGACUGUACAUUUUUAUUUAAUAAACCACAUGGCAAAACAAUACUUUAAUAAGUGUAUAGGAAAUUACAAUGUGAAAGUUGCAAAUACAGCACAUAUAUAUAUAUAUAUAUAUACUUUGAUCUUAAUUAACAUGGACAAACCCCAGCUUCAAAAUCUUUCUAAAAUCAAUCAUAUGCAAAAUACCUGGUUUCUGAAAGGGCAUAUGAUAAAGUAUAUACAAUUUCUUAAACUGUGAUAUGGCUUAUUUAAUAACAUGUAUUUAUUGAGAGAAGCAUAAACUUUCCAAAUAUACAGUAUCUUCCAGGUAGAAAGAUGACAUACUGGCACAUUUCAAUUUUGUGUUGCAGUUAUCUGAGAAUAUACUAAAUUGCACUAUUUAAGUGGACACUGUCAUAGAUUUAACUGGGAAAGUCUCCAUAAAUGUUUUCCAAUCUUAUCAAAAAGCAAAUUGGUCCUCAAUGAUUGGAACAGCAGGUUAAACCCUUUACAAGUCAGAAUUCAGUGACUGGCAGGCCUGAGUGCACACAUGUAAUUCAAUACUGAGGAACUCCCACAACACUGUCUUCUAAUUUGCAUGCUCCCACGAACAUCACAAAUAAUAUACCUGAUUGGCAAUCAGUAAAACAAAUCUCAAGACCUGGUUGUCAAGAUUCAUACGACACAUCUGGAGUUAGGGUUUGCAAAUUGUAUUUUGGCUACAAAGAUAUUAAACUUUAUCAAUUAUUCGAAGAUCAGACUUGCCUCCCCUCAACAUAGCAUAUAGUGAUGGGUGUUCAUUUAUGACAAAUAACCAACUGGCUCAUGAGCUUGGCUUGCUUCAAAGACAAAAUGAACCAAAUGAACUAAUCUUCUAUCUAGGAAACACUCUGUAACUUUAAAUUUGCUAUAUACAAAUCAGAGCCAACAGCAAAAUUGCCUAAAACCUUAUUUCAAAUGGGCUCAUAUUCUGUAAGAACACCAUAUUAAGUUGAGCCAAUUAACAUAUAUGCAUAAAAGGAAAAUAGAUUUAGCUAACUGCUUGUUUCAAAAUCAAAUAAGUCUACAAAAGCUGUGAGAGUGGCUGAGAAACACGACCCAAAGUCUUCUUAGCAAUGAUAUUCACUGGUGGUUGUGCAGUGUAGUCUCUUUGUCUACCACACUUACUCUACGAAGUCCAGUGUGCAGAGAAAUCUGGAUCUGGAACAACCAGCCAUUUUAAAAAGGUUCUUUCAUACCUGGACAUACAUUUCUAAGCGGUGCCUUGUCUCUGAAAGAUGAUUUUCCUCACAUUAAAAUGAGAGAGAAGCUCACGUGUCUGAUCUUGACUAUGUCUAUUCUGGAAAGUCUAUGAAAGACAAACACUGUCAGGUGGAACACCUGGGUUCAAAAGGAACACUAAGUCUCGUAAGAGCAAGAAACUUAGUUUUAGAGAAUGGAAAUAAAGCACCCAAAGUUGAAAAGAAAACAGUAAAAUAAGAAACCCGGUGAUGUGGCAAAAAAACACUGAUGGGAACUCUAAGUUGUAAAAAUCUGCACUCACAUUACAUAAGGCAUAGCUAAUGGAAAUGUAUGUAGGAAUUACAAUAGCUUCCAGUUCUGCAUAUCAAAACCUUCUGAGACAUGCUUUCUUCAAUUACACUCCCAUUAUGUUUCUAAGGCAGCAUAAUUGUUAGUGGAAUAAUAGGUCUUUUCCUGAAACAGACCAAAAGGUUGCAUCUGGCCAUAGUUGUGAAACACACGUUUAUGUACACAAGUAACUCUGAUUAUUUGCAAAUACUAAUUAAAAUAUAUCACACCAAA